rnacentral:misc_RNA from 1 species
UUAACUAUUUAAUAGUACUCGGACAUCACUAAAAUCAAGAGUUGGGUCCUCUGGCAGGCACGUACGAGCGUGAGCCCGCAGCGGAGGCCGCGGCCUGCCAAAGCAACAAAGGUGUGUAAACAUAGGGUUUAGAGGUACGGGCAUUUCAUCCCGCAUCUUUCUAAAUAAUAAUGAUCCUUCCGCAGGUUCACCUACGGAAA